AGCCAUUAAGGAGGAUGUAGCCAUUACCCUCCCAGGACCAUUUCUCUAUGAAUUGGAUUACUCGUAGUGCACAUGUGGGGCCACAAAGGCAGGAAACCAAAAUGAGCGGGCUGCUGAGUUGGAUGACAGAACCAGGAGAAAGUCAGGGGAGAGAAAUCAGAGAAGAGAGAAGACUCUCCCAUUUGCAACUUUCCUCAACCUGUGCCCGCUUGAUGUAUAGAUGACAACUCCCAGAAUUCUAGUGGCCAUAUUGUGAGUGCAACACAACUGAAAAGCUCCAGGUAUUUUCUUCAAUAGGCCACCGUGCCAUUUGCCCCAGAGACCUUGUUCUUCUCACCUGCCAACUAGGCGAAGAGGCCUGGGUCCAAGUCGGUCCAUCAGGAUGCCAAGAGGCAAAGUAGCCGCACUCAAGAGAAAGGAGCCAAUGGUGAAACCCA